AUUGAACGCUGGCGGCAUGCUUUACACAUGCAAGUCGAGCGGUAACAGGCCUUCGGGUGCUGACGAGUGGCGAACGGGUGAGUAAUGCAUCGGAACGUACCCAGAGGUGGGGGAUAACGCAGCGAAAGCUGUGCUAAUACCGCAUGUGAUCUGAGGAUGAAAGCGGGGGACCGAGCAGCAAUGUUUGGCCUCGCGCCUUUGGAGCGGCCGAUGUCGGAUUAGCUAGUUGGUGGGGUAAAGGCCUACCAAGGCGACGAUCCGUAGCUGGUCUGAGAGGACGACCAGCCACACUGGGACUGAGACACGGCCCAGACUCCUACGGGAGGCAGCAGUGGGGAAUUUUGGACAAUGGGCGCAAGCCUGAUCCAGCAAUGCCGCGUGCGGGAAGAAGGCCUUCGGGUUGUAAACCGCUUUUGGCAGGAACGAAACGGUGUCCGCUAAUACCGGGCGCUAAUGACGUUACCUGCAGAAUAAGCACCGGCUAACUACGUG
rnacentral:rRNA from 1 species